rnacentral:rRNA from 1 species
AUGGCGUCAUGCCAAGAAAGAAAGCGGGCUGAGAGAGAGGGCAGGAAGAAAGUUGCACAAGCUUUCAAGGAAGGAGCUAUUUGGAGGUUGAAAUUACGUAUUCUUACUUGGUUAAUGUGGAUUUUGCUAUGCGCUGAGUGGAUAUCAACAAACCGGGUACAUGAUGGUCUGCGCAUGGCAAUUCUAGCAGCCCCAUGGACAAUCGGUAUUCUCUAUUGCUCUACGGAUUGGGUCCGAGAUGUUUGCUGGGUUCUUAUGCUGUACAUUUGGCCUCAAUGGAUGCUGAACCUAAUACCCGGAGAGAGAUCAGUGAGACAGUAUAUAAACAAGUAUGGAGUUGUUGGUACGCGCCCAAUUGAGGGUGGUGGUUCAGCGGUCGUCUGCACCAAGUAUGGUAAUCUGUGGUCAGGGUUUAUUAAGGUGAUAACUGAUGCUCAUAAUCGGCACCAAAGUUGGGGCGGGCAAUUCACUAUGGAGGAUCUAAGGAUGAGUGGACACCGCUGCCGCAUUAAGCGUGAACCCAUGUGUGAUGGAAGUUUUGCCAAUCUGCUAUUAGAUCUGUCCACGUUGGCUAGGCUAUUGCUGGUAGAUGAAUUCAGAGAUUCCCAAGGAUAUCCAAUUAGUUAUAUCCAGGAACUGUACAACUUGAUGGUCUCCCCUACAGUUGGUUCAUGUCCUUCAAAGGCAAAGAAGGAAAAGUUCCUUAAAUUCCUGCACAACCAUCCAGCAGUCAAGUCACCAAGAGCAGUCACGAUCCUCAUAAGUGCAGUCUUCCAAGCCUAUAAAUCAAUGGGUCAAAUAGAGAAACAGAAAGUUGAUGACCUUGUGGCUAAGAUCAAGCUUACUACUAAGGAUUGGAGGGUAGAUGCUGCGUUGAACUCGUUACUUAACAAGGUGUUGCUAUUCAAGUACAACGACCCCAAUAACACUCUGACCAGUUAUGCUCCCAGUUCGUGUGACCUUUUUAGGUUCUUACGGAACUUCCAGCAGCACGGCGGGGAUGCCAAUCAGGGUGAUAAAAAACAAAACAUCUCUAACCUUGAGGAACUGGAGUAUAUUGCUUCAUACAGAUUUCCAACUUUCGUAUCUACGCUUAUUGAAGAUCUUGUUAUGGUGUUGGAUAUGCAGGGGAUGUUACAAUAUGCUUGGGAGAACUACACGUGUUCAGCUUAG